UCGAUUAGUUUGAUCAUGGCUCAGGACGAACGCUGGCGGCGUGCUUAACACAUGCAAGUGGAGCGACGAACCAGGCUUCGGCCUGGGGCAAAGCCGCGAACGGGUGAGUAACACGUGGGUAACCUGCCUUGAUGAUCGGGACAACCCGGGGAAACCCGGGCUAAUACCGAAUGUGCCCGCGAGCCACAAGGCUCGCGCGGAAAGGAAGCUUUGGCCUCCGCAUCGGGAUGGGCCCGCGGCCCAUUAGCUUGUUGGUGGGGUAAUGGCCUACCAAGGCAGCAAUGGGUAGCUGGUCUGAGAGGACGAUCAGCCACACUGGGACUGAGACACGGCCCAGACUCCUACGGGAGGCAGCAGUGGGGAAUCUUGCGCAAUGCGCGAAAGCGUGACGCAGCAACGCCGCGUGGGGGAAGACGGCCUUCGGGUUGUAAACCCCUUUCAGUUGGGACGAAGCUUCGUCGGUGAAUAGCCGGCUGGAGUGACGGUACCUUCAGAAGAAGCCCCGGCUAACUACGUGCCAGCAGCCGCGGUAAUACGUAGGGGGCAAGCGUUGUCCGGAAUCAUUGGGCGUAAAGAGCGUGUAGGCGGCCCGAUAAGUCCGCCGUGAAAGUCCAGGGCUCAACCCUGGAAUGCCGGUGGAUACUGUCGGGCUAGAGUCCGGAAGGGGCGAGUGGAAUUCCUGGUGUAGCGGUGAAAUG
rnacentral:rRNA from 1 species